rnacentral:rRNA from 1 species
ACGCUGGCGGCAGGCCUAACACAUGCAAGUCGAGCGGCAGCACGGGUACUUGUACCUGUGGCGAGCGGCGGACGGGUGAGUAAUGCCUAGGAAUCUGCCUGGUAGUGGGGGAUAACGCUCGGAAACGGACGCUAAUACCGCAUACGUCCUACGGGAGAAAGCAGGGGACCUUCGGGCCUUGCGCUACCAGAUGAGCCUAGGUCGGAUUAGCUAGUUGGUGGGGUAAUGGCUCACCAAGGCGACGAUCCGUAACUGGUCUGAGAGGAUGAUCAGUCACACUGGAACUGAGACACGGUCCAGACUCCUACGGGAGGCAGCAGUGGGGAAUAUUGGACAAUGGGCGAAAGCCUGAUCCAGCCAUGCCGCGUGUGUGAAGAAGGUCUUCGGAUUGUAAAGCACUUUAAGUUGGGAGGGAGGGCAGUUACCUAAUACGUAUCUGUUUUGACGUUACCGACAGAAUAAGCACCGGCUAACUCUGUGCCAGCAGCCGCGGUAAUACAGAGGGUGCAAGCGUUAAUCGGAAUUACUGGGCGUAAAGCGCGCGUAGGUGGUUUGUUAAGUUGAAUGUGAAAUCCCCGGGCUCAACCUGGGAACUGCAUGCAAAACUGGCAAGCUAGAGUAUGGUAGAGGGUGGUGGAAUUUCCUGUGUAGCGGUGAAAUGCGUAGAUAUAGGAAGGAACACCAGUGGCGAAGGCGACCACCUGGACUGAUACUGACACUGAGGUGCGAAAGCGUGGGGAGCAAAC